UGCACAUUCCUUAGAUCCAUCUCUGUUGUUUCUUAGGAGAUGCUUGAGUCAUUGAUGUGCUAUAUUAUGUAAAAUCUUCUUUUUGGUCUUUGCAAAUAGUACUAUGAUUUUUAACUGUUAUGCUAAAUUCAUGUUAAUUACUGUUUGUAUGACCAACGAGAGGACAUU